GGUCGUUCUACAUGACGGUAGAAGAAGAAGAAGCUGACCCGGCAAAAAAAAAAAACAAAGAAGAAGGAGCUUUGCUUGUGGACUCACAAGCAAAUAUUGCCCGUUUGAUAAAUUCAACGGCAGAAAUUGUGGAUUCCCUGCAUCUGCACAAGCCUUGAGCCAGUUAAAGGCUCUCAUGCCCGCGGCAGGAACUCAAAGUGAUGAUGAUGACGAACAGGAAAAUUGCUUUGAAGAACUUCAGCGACAAAGUGGUUUGUCACCACCUCUUCAAUGGGGAGCUGCUGUACAAAUCUACAUCACUCUGAAGAACAUGGCUGAUCUAUAAAAUGUUAAGACUGUAAAAUAAACAACCCUUUUCAUAACUUUGAAUACAAUGUAAGCAGAAAAGUCAUUCAGGUUUUGUUUAUUUAUUUAUUUUUACAAGCAAUACAGCAACUGUUGCUUAAAAUGACAAAAUAAAGAAUGUUAUAAACAGUUGUUUUCAACAAUA